CUCGGAUCAUGAGAAAGGUCACUUGGGAGUGGGCAAGUCAUCGUUCCCUGUUUCCCGACUAGGAAUCAAACCCGCGUCCCCUGCAUUAGAAGGCGGAUUCUUAACCACUGCGCCACCAGGUAUCGCUCCCUCUGCCAUCCAGCACAAACUUCACCUUGCUGGGACUCCUUUGGACUGGAGCUGGGACUCCUCCUACACAGACGCUUUCUGCUGCAGCUGCAUGCCUGCAGACUGUGGGCCCUGAGGGCGGCCGGUCUAGACUUCUGGGAAGCUCUGUGUGGGUUUCUUUUUGCAUAAACCGAGCAUUUGAGGCAUUGAUCCUGACCUCAUGAUGUGAAAGGUGAGGUUUGGAAUUUUUAGAAACACUGAAAUCAUGGCAGUACACCCGCACAUCUUCCAGGGUCUUGGGUCUUAAAAAGAGUGUGGUAUUAUGGGAUGCCAAGAUACAGGGGUCCCGUAAAGCGGGGUUGCCUUGCCUGGGCCGAGCCUGCUGGUCAGCGGAGCCCCAUCCUGUCGCUGUUUCUCCCCUGAGAAGCCCUGCCCAGUGCCUUCCCAAGGCCCCAGGGACGAGGCCGCCACUCCCCGCAAAGGCCGCACGCUCUCGCCUGCUGUGGCGGCUCUGACCUUGAUCCCACAACACUGUGGUGUACCAGAGCGUCUGAGAGCGCUUUUUACUCUCGGACUCAAACACAACCAUGUCUUGAGCUUGUCUGGGCAGGUGGGGGUGCAGCGUCCAUCUCUUCCAGGGCUCCCCACUCCGCGGUGUUGCAGAAGCCUCCAGGCCCUUCCUAACUCAGAGCUGGGGCCACACGUGCCGCUCCCCUCUGUCCCGACGGGCCCUUGGGUGCUGACUGGGGGUCUCGCUGCUUCGGGGGCAUCUCAGGACCCCCGUAACCAGCACGGCAGAGACCCAGGCCCAUCCACCCACUCCUCUGCCCUUCCUCCUCCUCACUGGGAUGCCCUGAGCUUCUCAGAGCACCAGAAACAUGGAUGCUGUCUGUGCACGUGCGUGUGUGUGCUGUGUCUGCAUGCGAGUGUGUGGGGCUGCAUUUGUGUGUGUACAUGUGCAUGUGCUGUGCAUGUGUGUGUGUGCAUACAGUACACCCAUGUGUAUACGUUCAUGUGGGCGCAUGCACACACAUGUGUGUACGUGGGCAUUUGAGUGUGGCCACAGAUGUAUCCACGUGUGUGUGAAUGUGCGCACACUCUGCGUAAAUACGCAUGUUCGCAUGUGUGUGCCCGUUGUACCUGUGAGUGUGCAUACGUGUGUGUGCGCGUGUGGACGCCCAGGCUAUGAGUGAGAGCUGACACCUGCCUUAACCUCAGGGGCCUCUGUUUGCUCCUAGUAGCCGUGACCCUGAGCUCACGGCAGUCGACAGGCUCACGUGAAUCACCGUGCAGAGGAUUUCCUGGGGGCGAAGGUGGGCUGGCCAUCCUGGUCCUCUCCCACGCGCAUAGGCGGGGCUGGAGUGCCAGGCCCGGGACCUGGGGCCUAGGGACCAGAGAGCUGGGGCCAUGGGGUGGU